GAUGAACGCUGGCGGCGUGCCUAAUACAUGCAAGUCGAGCGAACAGAUGAGGAGCUUGCUCCUCUGACGUUAGCGGCGGACGGGUGAGUAACACGUGGAUAACCUACCUAUAAGACUGGGAUCACUUCGGGAAACCGGAGCUAAUACCGGAUAAUAUAGUGAACCGCAUGGUUCAAUAGUGAAAGACGGUUUUGCUGUCACUUAUAGAUGGAUCCGCGCCGCAUUAGCUAGUUGGUAAGGUAACGGCUUACCAAGGCAACGAUGCGUAGCCGACCUGAGAGGAUGAUCAGCCACACUGGAACUGAGACACGGUCCAGACUCCUACGGGAGGCAGCAGUAGGGAAUCUUCCGCAAUGGGCGAAAGCCUGACGGAGCAACGCCGCGUGAGUGAUGAAGGUCUUCGGAUCGUAAAGCUCUGUUAUUAGGGAAGAACAAAUGUGUAAGUAACUAUGCACGUCUUGACGGUACCUAAUCAGAAAGCCACGGCUAACUACGUG
rnacentral:rRNA from 1 species